GAAAUGCGAUACGUAAUGUGAAUUGCAGAAUUCAGUGAAUCAUCAAAUCCUUGAACGCAACUUGCGCUCGUGAGUCCUCUCACGAGCAUGCCUGUUUGAGUGUCGGUUUCCAAUCAUCACCCAUCCCACCCUCGCGGUCGGAUCGGCGUGGAAGCGAAUGGGAGUUGGACGGCUUCGGCCGCUCAUCUCUUGAAACGAACGGUGCUCUGUGCGGCAGCCGGUUCUGAGG
rnacentral:misc_RNA from 1 species